rnacentral:rRNA from 1 species
CCCUUAGAUGUUCUGGGCCGCACGCGCGCUACACUGAUACGCUCAACGAGCUCCUUGGCCGAAAGGUCCGGGUAAUCUUUGAAAUCGUAUCGUGAUGGGGAUAGAACAUUGCAAUUUUUGUUCUUCAACGAGGAAUGCCUAGUAAGCGCGAGUCAUCAUCUCGCGUUGAUUACGUCCCUGCCCUUUGUACACACCGCCCGUCGCUCCUACCGAUUGAAUGGUUUAGUGAGAUCUCCGGAUUGGCACCAUCGAGGCUUCACGGCCUUGACGGAAAGUCGAAAAGUUGCUCAAACUUGAUCAUUUAGAGGAAGUAAAAGUCGUAACA